UUCUGCUUCAAGAACAUCAACCAAAUGCUGUUCUUCAGCCCUGGCCAGCCUGCCUUCUUCCCAGUCAUCAGCACAGCAGCACCCACCACACUGCGUGGUGUCACUGGAAACAACACCCAUGUGAAGACCCUGGAUCAAGGAUUGGAUGUUCCUCACUGCGGGGAGGAGGGUGACAGUGGGAGAGAGGAGAAGGCUGGUCCAUCCCUGGAAGGAAACAAGGAAUAAAUGAAAGGCCCUUUAUUUGCCAGGACAUCAUGCCAGGAUGACGUUGUGAUGACGCUGAGAUGGCUGAUGCCAUUACCCAUAUCUCUCCCUCCAUGGAUUCGGACACCAUGCCAUUAACAGAGAGGCACAGAAAUAUUUCCCUUUCACUGUCAUGAUGGAACCAUCCCUCUUACCCCACAUGCUGUAACACGGCUUUCUUGACCCUUGCCUGCUAUCGUCAUUGUGCUCUCAGCACAGUGAUGAGGUAGGGAAGAAAACCUAAAAAGCUGUAGAUAUCAGGGGUCUGGGCUCAUAUUCUCAGUCAUUAAAGCAUUUUUUAUUAGUGCUUCUGUUUCUUUCUCACAUAUGCUCUGGGAAAAAAAGUCAAUGAAAGGAGAGGUGAUUUAAUCCAUUGGCUCUCAAAGUUAUGAAUACUGCUGCUUAAUUCUCUCUGAAAUUUCCUGUCCUAAAUCACCCUGUUGAUGGUCAUAGGAAUUACUGUUACAAUUUUUUUACGUUUCCACUGUUAAACUGCCCAAAGCUGUGUUUCUACACAACACACAGCAUCCUUGACUGUUGGUGUCCUCCACUUAUUCUGGGUAUUUUAUUUUUGUUUUUUUUC